GUUUGAUCCUGGCUCGAAUGAACGCUGGCGGCAGGCCUAACACAUGCAAGUCGAACGGAGUUAUAUUGUAGCUUGCUAUGGUAUAACUUAGUGGCAGACGGGUGAGUAAUGUAUAGGAAUCUACCUAGUAGUACGGAAUAAUUGUUGGAAACGGCAACUAAUACCGUAUACGCCCUACGGGGGAAAAAUUUAUUGCUAUUAGAUGAGCCUAUAUUAGAUUAGCUAGUUGGUGGAGUAAUAGCCUACCAAGGCAAUGAUCUAUAGCUGAUCUGAGAGGAUGAUCAGCCACACUGGAACUGAGAUACGGUCCAGACUCCUACGGGAGGCAGCAGUGGGGAAUAUUGGACAAUGGGCGAAAGCCUGAUCCAGCCAUGCCGCAUGAGUGAAGAAGGCCUUUGGGUUGUAAAGCUCUUUUAGUGAGGAAGAUAAUGACGGUACUCACAGAAGAAGUCCUGGCUAACUCCGUGCCAGCAGCCGCGGUAAUACGGAGAGGGCUAGCGUUAUUCGGAAUUAUUGGGCGUAAAGGGCGCGUAGGCGGAUUAGUAAGUUAGAAGUGAAAUCCCAAGGCUCAACCUUGGAAUUGCUUUUAAAACUGCUAAUCUAGAGAUUGAAAGAGGAUAGAGGAAUUCCUAGUGUAGAGGUGAAAUUCGUAAAUAUUAGGAGGAACACCAGUGGCGAAGGCGUCUAUCUGGUUCAAAUCUGACGCUGAGGCGCGAAGGCGUGGGGAGCAAACAGGAUUAGAUACCCUGGUAGUCCACGCUGUAAACGAUGAAUGUUAAAUAUGGGAAGUUUUACUUUCUGUAUUACAGCUAACGCGUUAAACAUUCCGCCUGGGGACUACGGUCGC
rnacentral:rRNA from 1 species